AAUCUUCCGCAAUGGACGAAAGUCUGACGGAGCAACGCCGCGUGAGUGAUGAAGGUCUUCGGAUCGUAAAACUCUGUUGUUAGGGAAGAACAAGUAUCGUUCGAAUAGGGCGGUACCUUGACGGUACCUAACCAGAAAGCCACGGCUAACUACGUGCCAGCAGCCGCGGUAAUACGUAGGUGGCAAGCGUAUCCGGAAUUCUUGGGGGUAAAGGCCGCGGAGGGCGUUUUUUAAGUCCUGUGGGAAAGGCCACGGGCCAACCCGGGAGGGUCAAUUGAAACUUGGAAGGUUGAGGGCAGAAGAGGAGAGUGGAAUUCCAUGUGUAGCGGUGAAAUGCGGAGAGAUAUGGGGGAACACCAGUGGCGAAGGCGACUCUCUGGUCCGCAACUGACGCUGAGGCGCGAAAGCGUGGGGAGCGAACA
rnacentral:rRNA from 1 species